rnacentral:lncRNA from 1 species
CAUAAUUUCAUCCCCAUGAGGCUCAGCCUCUCUGCCUUUCUGAUGCCAUUGCAAGAAUCAGGGGAAAAAAAAAAAAGCAGCCUGAGACCCAGGCUACCAUCUUGGGAUUUCAUCCUCCCCUGCACCCCAGCCUGGAAAUCACCACUGGACUGGGUGCCUGGUCUGUACACGCUCUCGGGAGUUCCAGAAGCAACUCUAUUCUGUCGGGAUAAUGCCAUCACCGGUGCGUCAUUCAAAAUCAGUCCCCAAAGGUCACCACUGGGAAGAGAAAGAGUAGCAGGGAAUGAAAGGCGUGUGGCCGUGUUCGCCCUGGACUCCACUCACAUAGAUUCCUGGAGCAAAGGGGUGAGUCAGUUCAACCCCUGUGCUAACCCCAGCUUACCCGGGUUAUCCUUGGGGUGGAGGCCAUCUGUUCCCUCUGCCUAAAGGCAGCCGAGUGUGAGAUUCCACAG